rnacentral:rRNA from 1 species
UACGUAGGGUGCAAGCGUUAAUCGGAAUUACUGGGCGUAAAGCGUGCGCAGGCGGUUAUGUAAGACAGAUGUGAAAUGCCCGGGCUUAACCUGGGAACUGCAUUUGUGACUGCAUGGCUAGAGUUUGGCAGAGGGGGGUAGAAUUCCACGUGUAGCAGUGAAAUGCGUAGAUAUGUGGAGGAACACCGAUGGCGAAGGCAGCCCCUGGGUCAAGACUGACGCUCAUGCACGAAAGGCGUGGGGAGCAAACAGG